rnacentral:rRNA from 1 species
GAUGAACGCUGGCGGCGGGCCUAAUACAUGCAAGUCGAGCGAACAGACGAGGAGCUUGCUCCUCUUACGUUAGCGGCGGACGGGUGAGUAACACGUGGAUAACCUACCUAUAAGACUGGGAUAAAUUCGGGAAACCGGAGCUAAUACCGGAUAAUAUAUUGAACCGCAUGGUGCAAUAGUGAAAGGCGGUUUUGCUGUCACUUAUAGCUGAAUCCGCGCCGCAUUAGCUAGUUGGUAAGGUAACGGCUUACCAAGGCAACGAUGCGUAGCCGACCUGAGAGGGUGAUCGGCCACACUGGAACUGAGACACGGUCCAGACUCCUACGGGAGGCAGCAGUAGGGAAUCUUCCGCAAUGGGCGAAAGCCUGACGGAGCAACGCCGCGUGAGUGAUGAAGGUCUUCGGAUCGUAAAACUCUGUUAUUAGGGAAGAACAAAUGUGUAAGUAACUAUGCACGUCUUGACGGUACCUAAUCAGAAAGCCACGGCUAACUACGUG